UACAGAGGUCUCAAGCGUUGUUCGGAUUCAUUGGGCGUAAAGGGUGCGUAGGCGGCGCGGUAAGUCGGGUGUGAAAUCUCGGGGCUUUAACUCCGAAACUGCAUUCGAUACUGCCGUGCUUGAGGACUGGAGAGGAGACUGGAAUUUACGGUGUAGCGGUGAAAUGCGUAGAUAUCGAGAGGAACACCUGCGGCGAAGGCGGGUUGCUGGGCUGACACUGACGCUGAUGCGCGAAAGCCAGGGGAGCGAACGGG
rnacentral:rRNA from 1 species